rnacentral:lncRNA from 10 species
GUAUUCCUAAGACCACUCCCUUAUGGGGAUCUUGUAUGCAAAUCUUUAUCACUGAGUCCGCCUGUUGGUGUUAGAAGAGGUCUGAGAAAACAGACCUAAAAGAGGACUCUAGAGCUGGAUCACCAGCUGUUCAGUGGACACGGAAAACCUUAUCACUAAUGACAUAGGAAAAUGAACGAGGCACAUUAACUCAAAGAUUUUGGACUUAUAUCUGCGCAGAAUUAUUGUUAUCUCCUUGAGAAUAUAAGACUGCAUGGUAAGUUCCAGAUGGGAUUCCUCUGAAGUCCAGGUAAAUGAACUCAAGCGUAUCCUUCAUCCCAGUUCUGUGAUGAAAGCCUGCUGUUCCUUGGGAAGGCAAGAGGAGGAAUUUGAAUGGCAUCUUUGUUGGUGGAAGAGAGGGGAUGAUAAGAGUGCUUGUACAUGAUUCUUUGUAAGUUAUCUCCCUGCUACCUUUCUUUUUCUAAAACAUCCUAUAUAGAACUACAAGAUUAAUCUUUGCAAACACAGUUCAGAUCAUUUUUUUUUUCUGUUCAAAAUCUUCAGCAAGUCAGAGCUGGCUGAAUAAACUUUUAACUCACAGAAUUAAGACAGACUUUGAGUUGAUUAUCAUUAGGGAUCUAUUCAUCCCACCAAUUAUUUAGCACAUGUGUUUAUCUAAACUUGUGUUUAUCCCAUUGUCUGACUUCCUCUGGAACACACAGAGGGGCAGGAAACUUACUACCAAUUCCAUGUACUGUUCUGUUUCUCAUAACGUCCUCACAUUUAUUAAAAAAUCUGUCACCUUGCUGCUGCUGGAGAGCCACACAAAAUAAAUCAUAUUCCUGUCUAUGUAUGAGAGAUCAAUAUCUUGGACAUCAUAGAUCUUCUAAAUCUCAUCUCUCCUUUAAAUUUAGACAUUUCUCCAGCCAAUUUUUCUCCUGCAGUCCUUACCCAAGCUUCAAGUCUCCCUCUAAGAAAGCUCUCUUCGUAAUCCUCGCCCCCAGUCUCUUCUCCUAGAGAGAUGUAAUUUCUUUCCUGUCCUCACCUAAUGAGUAUGGUACUCCAUUUUAGGGACCUCUUCCUAUGCUUAUUACUUUCUACCUAUAUUUAUAGAAACAUUUUACAAAACAUUUCCAUGCCACAAUAUUCUCACAAGUUGUCAAUAGCAGUUAGUUGCAGGGAGUGGGGGUGGGGGAUAGCCCAUAAAACAACAUACAUUUAUUU